rnacentral:rRNA from 1 species
CCUACGUGUGGCAGCAGUGGGGAAUAUUGCACAAUGGGGGCAACCCUGAUGCAGCGACGCAGCGUGAGUGAAGAAGUAUCUCGGUAUGUAAAGCUCUAUCAGCAGGGAAGAAAAUGACGGUACCUGACUAAGAAGCGCCGGCUAACUACGUGCCAGCAGCCGCGGUAAUACGCAGGGGGCAAGCGUUAUCCGGAUUUACUGGGUGUAAAGGGAGCGUAGACGGCAGCACAAGUCUGGAGUGAAAUCCUGGGGCUUAACCCCGGAACUGCUUUGGAAACUGGGCGGCUGGAGUGCAGGAGGGGUAAGCGGAAUUCGUAGUGUAGCGGUGAAAUGCGUAGAUAUUAGGAGGAACACCGAUGGCGAAGGCAGCUUACUGGACUGUAACUGACGUUGAGGCUCGAAAGCGUGGGGAGCAAACAGGAUUAGAUACCCGGGUAGUC